rnacentral:rRNA from 1 species
GACGAACGCUGGCGGCGUGCUUAACACAUGCAAGUCGAACGGAAAGGCCCUGCUUUUGUGGGGUGCUCGAGUGGCGAACGGGUGAGUAACACGUGAGUAACCUGCCCUUGACUUUGGGAUAACUUCAGGAAACUGGGGCUAAUACCGGAUAGGAGCUCCUGCUGCAUGGUGGGGGUUGGAAAGUUUCGGCGGUUGGGGAUGGACUCGCGGCUUAUCAGCUUGUUGGUUGGGUAGUGGCUUACCAAGGCUUUGACGGGUAGCCGGCCUGAGAGGGUGACCGGCCACAUUGGGACUGAGAUACGGCCCAGACUCCUACGGGAGGCAGCAGUGGGGAAUAUUGCACAAUGGGCGGAAGCCUGAUGCAGCAACGCAGCGUGCGGGAUGACGGCCUUCGGGUUGUAAACCGCUUUCGCCUGUGACGAAGCGUGAGUGACGGUAAUGGGUAAAGAAGCACCGGCUAACUACGUG